GGGGGGGGCGCUACCAUGCAGUCGAACGGUAACAGGAAGCAAGCUUGCUUCUUUGCUGACGAGUGGCGGACGGGUGAGUAAUGUCUGGGAAACUGCCUGAUGGAGGGGGAUAACUACUGGAAACGGUAGCUAAUACCGCAUAACGUCGCAAGACCAAAGAGGGGGACCUUCGGGCCUCUUGCCAUCGGAUGUGCCCAGAUGGGAUUAGCUAGUAGGUGGGGUAACGGCUCACCUAGGCGACGAUCCCUAGCUGGUCUGAGAGGAUGACCAGCCACACUGGAACUGAGACACGGUCCAGACUCCUACGGGAGGCAGCAGUGGGGAAUAUUGCACAAUGGGCGCAAGCCUGAUGCAGCCAUGCCGCGUGUAUGAAGAAGGCCUUCGGGUUGUAAAGUACUUUCAGCGGGGAGGAAGGGAGUAAAGUUAAUACCUUUGCUCAUUGACGUUACCCGCAGAAGAAGCACCGGCUAACUCCGUGCCAGCAGCCGCGGUAAUACGGAGGGUGCAAGCGUUAAUCGGAAUUACUGGGCGUAAAGCGCACGCAGGCGGUUUGUUAAGUCAGAUGUGAAAUCCCCGGGCUCAACCUGGGAACUGCAUCUG
rnacentral:rRNA from 1 species